rnacentral:rRNA from 1 species
AUGGCAUCAUCCAACAGUUCAAUUCGCUUCAGCGAUGAUGCUGUUGAGGAUAUUUGUUGGCAGGAAGAUCUUGGUGUACUGGAAGAUGAUGACGGCACUACGCCUAUGCUUCCCUUUGCUGAGGGUAACACGCCAAAGUCAAAAUGUCUUAGGAUGCAUAAUCACGUCGAGCCUAUUAGUAGUAGUUAUCCCGUUAGGAAAGAAUGUUUGGGGAACGGUUGGGCUACUACAAACGAUCAAAUUCUGCAGGCAACCAAGGAGAGCAACAAGCUCAUGCAAACUCUCUUAAAGAAAAUCGAGAAGUUGGAAUAUAUGGUUGUGAAGCACAUGCAAGCAUGUGACAAGAAGACGGAAAUGCCUUGA